UACGAAGGGGGCUAGCGUUGCUCGGAUUGACCGGGCGUAAAGGGCGCGUAGGCGGUUCGUACAGUCAGACGUGAAAUUCCUGGGCUCAACCUGGGGGCUGCGUUUGAUACGUGCGGACUUGAGUGCGGAAGAGGGUCGUGGAAUUCCCAGUGUAGAGGUGAAAUUCGUAGAUAUUGGGAAGAACACCGGUGGCGAAGGCGGCGACCUGGUCCGAUACUGACGCUGAGGCGCGAAAGCGUGGGGAGCAAACAGG
rnacentral:rRNA from 1 species